UUUUAAAAAAUAUAAGAAUUUCAAAACAACAAAACAAACUUCAUAACAGAAAAAGGAGGUGUACUAAUUGAGCACCUUCGGAAUAGCAAUAAAGCUUCUUUCGAAAUCUUCAAACCCCACAAAUCUGAAUACUAACCGGCGGACAUUUCUGGCUAAUCUUUUGAAGCAAAAAAGCUCCUUUCUGUUGAACGCUUUCAGGGUAAAUUUUUGACAGCAGGAAUUAAACAUCAAAAUGAGAUCCACCUAUUCGAACAGCAACAAAACAGGCUCCUAUUCGCCAAAAAAUGCUACGAAAAACUUUCAUCUGAGGUCCAAAAAGAUUUCUUCUGCCAAUUCGAAGUUCGUCCAAAAGCACUGAAAGCAGAGCUCGUUUUUCAUGACAACUGUCACGUUCUUGGCAGUGUUUCUUCUCAUCGUUGUCGAAUGUGCAGUCAGCAGAGUGUGUGAACUCGUAUACUGCGGGGUACAACUGGGAGCCGGUGGGGAAAAGGUCUGCGGGUGAAUAUGUUUUGGGAAGGGAACAAAACCAGGAUUUUCCCGCGCGAGGCGUUCCGAGUUAUGGGCGAAGAUGGCCCAGGUAUUGGCUUCAAAUGGCGCUUUCUGGACAACACCAAAAACAGAGUCCAAACUACGCAACUUUCCGAAGUCACUCCCGAAAAAGAUUGUCAGCCUGUGAACGAUGAAACUUCAACUACUAGCGUCAAAAUAUCAGUUUAGAAAAAAAUGAUUUCCGAAUUUUAAAAAAUAAGG